rnacentral:rRNA from 1 species
AGAGUUUGAUCGUGGCUCAGGACGAACGCUGGCGGCGUGCCUAAUACAUGCAAGUCGAGCGGAGUUAUGAUGGAGCUUGCUUCUGAUUAACUUAGCAGCGGACGGGUGAGUAACACGUAGGCAACCUGCCCCUUGGACUGGGAUAACUACCGGAAACGGUAGCUAAUACCGGAUAAGACCUUCUGGUGCAUACCGGAAGGCGGAAAGGCGGAGUAAUCUGUCACCAGGGGAUGGGCCUGCGGCGCAUUAGCUAGUUGGUGGGGUAACGGCUCACCAAGGCGACGAUGCGUAGCCGACCUGAGAGGGUGAACGGCCACACUGGGACUGAGACACGGCCCAGACUCCUACGGGAGGCAGCAGUAGGGAAUCUUCCGCAAUGGGCGAAAGCCUGACGGAGCAACGCCGCGUGAGUGAUGAAGGUUUUCGGAUCGUAAAGCUCUGUUGCCAGGGAAGAACGUUCUCUAGAGUAACUGCUAGAGAAGUGACGGUACCUGAGAAGAAAGCCCCGGCUAACUACGUGCCAGCAGCCGCGGUAAUACGUAGGGGGCAAGCGUUGUCCGGAAUUAUUGGGCGUAAAGCGCGCGCAGGCGGCUGUUUAAGUCUGGUGUUUAAACCAUGGGCUCAACCUGUGGUCGCACUGGGAAACUGGGCAGCUUGAGUGCAGAGGAGGAAAGUGGAAUUCCCACGUGUAGCGGUUGAAAUGCGUAGAGAUGUUGGAGGGAACCACCAGUGGGCGAAAUGCGACUUUUCUUGGGCUGUUAAACUUGACCGCUGAGGCGCGAAAGCGUGGGGGGAGCAAAACCAGGAUUUAGAAAUAUAACCCCCUGUGGAUAUGUU